GGCUAGAUACUUUGUAAAACUGUGAGGAUUAAGAAAUGAGAAAUUUAUGCAGUCAUGAUGCAGUGAAGAAGACCUACAAGAAAAUGUGGGCUGGCACUCCAGGCUGGGCCUGCUACUAGAACUGAUGGUGUGUUAAGCAACAGGGAUCAAUUAUCUUCCUGGCAAAGUGUCAUUAUCUUAUUGGCCCAGAUAUAGUCGGAGAUGGCCUGAUCUCUUAGCAAUAUUUGCCAUGGAUAUGGGAGGAGUGCGAGCAUAUAUGCUUCUUAGUUGUUAUCCUUUUCUGUAGGCCUUUAGGAGGACUCACCCUGGGGAAAGCUCACCGCCAUGUCAUGAGGACAGUCAAAUUGCUCUGUGAAAGGGUCCACAUAAGGAAGAACUGGGACUUCCUACCAUGGCCAGUACCAACUUGCCAACCACAUGCAUGAGCCAUCUUAGAAUCAGACCCUCAAGCCUUCAGAGACUGCAACUCUGGCUUAUUUCUUGAUUGCAACCUCGUGAGAGAUUCCCAUGCCAGGACCAUCCAGUUAAGCUCCUCUCUCAUCUCUGACCCAUAGAAACAGUAUGACAUAAUAAAUGCUGAUUACCAUUAAAUCUUGG